rnacentral:rRNA from 1 species
GGACGAACGCUGGCGGCGUGCUCCACACAUUUCAAAGUCGAACGGAAAGGCCCUGCCUUGCAGGGUUACUCGAGUGGCGAACGGGUGAGUAACACGUGGGUGAUCUGCCCUGCACUUCGGGAUAAGCCUGGGAAACUGGGUCUAAUACCGGAUAGGAGCCAUUUUUAGUGUGAUGGUUGGAAAGUUUUUUCGGUGUAGGAUGAGCUCGCGGCCUAUCAGCUUGUUGGUGGGGUAAUGGCCUACCAAGGCGGCGACGGGUAGCCGGCCUGAGAGGGUGGACGGCCACAUUGGGACUGAGAUACGGCCCAGACUCCUACGGGAGGCAGCAGUGGGGAAUAUUGCACAAUGGGCGCAAGCCUGAUGCAGCGACGCCGCGUGGGGGAUGACGGCCUUCGGGUUGUAAACUCCUUUCGCUAGGGACGAAGCUUUUUGUGACGGUACCUAGAUAAGAAGCACCGGCUAACUACGUGCCAGCAGCCGCGGUAAUACGUAGGGUGCGAGCGUUGUCCGGAAUUACUGGGUGUACAAGGGCUCGUAGGUGGGUUUGUCGCGUCGUCUGUGAAAUUCCGGGGGCUUCACUCCGGGGCGUGCAGGCGAUACGGGCAUUAACUUGAGUACUGUUACGGGGGGUUAACCUGGGAAAUUCCACGGUGUAAGCGGUAGGAAAUGCGCCAGAUUAUCAGGGAGGGAAACACCGAUUGGCCGAACGGCACGAGGUUCCACUGGGCCAGUUAACUGAACGCCUUAAGGAACCGAAAGCCAUUGGGUAGACGAACAGGCAUUAUU